rnacentral:rRNA from 1 species
UACGGAGGGUGCAAGCGUUAUCCGGAUUCACUGGGUUUAAGGGGUGCGUAGGCGGGCAGGUAAGUCCGUGGUGAAAUCUCUGAGCUUAACUCAGAAACUGCCAUGGAUACUAUUUGUCUUGAAUAUUGUGGAGGUAAGCGGAAUAUGUCAUGUAGCGGUGAAAUGCUUAGAUAUGACAUAGAACACCAAUUGCGAAGGCAGCUUACUACACAGUUAUUGACGCUGAGGCACGAAAGCGUGGGGAUCAAACAGG